UCCCUGGUGGUCCCAUGGCUAAGACUCUGCGCUCCCAAGGCAGGAGGCCUGGGUUCGAUCCCUGGUCGGGGAA
rnacentral:tRNA from 1 species